UGUGUUUUUGAGUGAGAUUCUUAAUCCUGAGUUAUAAUUUGAUUGCAGUGUGUUCUGAGAGGCUGUUAGGGUAUCAAUUCUUUUGCAUUUGCUGAGCAAUGAUUUACUUCCAAUUAUGUGAUCAAUUUUAGAGUAAGUGCCAUGUGGCACCAAGAAGAAAGCAUAUUCUGUUGUUUUAGAAUGGAGAGUUCUGUAGCUAUCUCUCAGGUUCACUUGAUCUAGAACUAAGUUCAAGUCCUGAAUAUCUUUGUGAAUUCUUUGUUUCAAAGAUUUGUCUAAUAUUGACAGUGGAGUGUUAAAGUCUCCCACUCUUACUGUGUUGGAGUCUAAGUAUCUUUGAAGGUCUCUAAGAACUUGUUUUAUGAAUUGGGUGCUCCUGCAUUGGGUGUAUUUAUAUUUAUCAUAGUUAGCCCUUCUUAUUGAAUUGACUCCUUUACCAUUAUGUAAUACCUUCUUUGUCUUUUAUGACUUUGUUUGUUUAAAGUCUGUUUUGUCAGA